UACGUAGGGCGCGAGCGUUGUCCGGAAUCAUUGGGCGUAAAGAGCUCGUAGGCGGCCUGUCGCGUCUGCUGUGAAAUCCCGGGGCUCAACCCCGGGCGUGCAGUGGAUACGGGCUGGCUGGAGGCAGGCAGGGGAGAACGGAAUUCCCGGUGUAGCGGUGAAAUGCGCAGAUAUCGGGAGGAACACCAAUUGCGAAGGCAGCUCGCUGGGACGUGACUGACGCUGAGACGCGAAAGCGUGGGGAGCAAACAGG
rnacentral:rRNA from 1 species